rnacentral:tmRNA from 1 species
GGGGGUGUUUGGUUUUGACAGCAUAGAUCUUUGAAAGUGCAAGCAUGCCGAGCGUUGGAUAAUUAGCUCGUAAAUCUGAAUAUUCGACAAUUAAAUGGCGAAUCUACUUACGCCAUGGCUGCCUAAUUAAACAAUUAGCGCAACCAUUAUGGCCGGGUGUGUUUGUUAGCCUUUACAAACCGCUCCGCCCAAUCAAACAAACCUAAAGGCUGCGGCAAUGGAAGGCUGUGACUAUUGCUUAAGAACAUGCAGCUAAGGAAAGGGUUGGUUGGUUCCGUUCCGGCCAUUUCCCGACAAUGAAUACGGAUCUAAGCAUGUAGAAAGCUUUCGACGAUUAUGUUUGGACACCGGUUCGACUCCGGUCACCUCCACCA